UACGUAGGCAGCGAGCGUUGUUCGGAAUUACUGGGCGUAAAGAGUGUGUAGGCGGUGCUCUAAGUUCGGUGUGAAAUCUCCUGGCUCAACUGGGAGGGUGCGCCGGAAACUGGAGUGCUUGAGCGUGGGAGAGGAAAGCGGAAUUCCUGGUGUAGCGGUGAAAUGCGUAGAUAUCAGGAGGAACACCUGUGGUGUAGACGGCUUUCUGGACCAUAGCUGACGCUGAGAAGCGAAAGCGUGGGGAGCGAACAGG
rnacentral:rRNA from 1 species